rnacentral:rRNA from 1 species
GAUUAACGCUGGCGGCGUGCCUAACACAUGCAAGUCGAGCGGCAGCGAGUUUUACACUGAAUUCUGGAAGCUUCUAGUUGAAAGAGAAGAUUUAUUCAAGAAUUUUGUGUAAAAUGUCGGCGAGCGGCGGACGGCUGAGUAACGCGUGGGAACGUACCCCAAAGUGAGGGAUAACGCAUCGAAAGGUGUGCUAAUACCGCAUAUGGUCUUCGGAUUAAAGCCUUCGGGCGCUUUGGGAACGGCCUGCGUAAGAUUAGAUAGUUGGUGGGGUAAUGGCCUACCAAGUCGACGAUCUUUAACUGGUUUGAGAGAAUGAUCAGUCAGACUGGAACUGAGACACGGUCCAGACUCCUACGGGAGGCAGCAGUGAGGAAUCUUCCACAAUGGGCGAAAGCCUGAUGGAGCAACGCCGCGUGCAGGAUGAAGGCCUUCGGGUUGUAAACUGCUUUUAUAAGUGAGGAUUAUGACAGUAACUUAUGAAUAAGGAUCGGCUAACUACGUG